GUCUCGGUAGCUCAGUGGGCAGAGCGAUGGGCUAGUGAUCUAGUGACGCGAGUUCGAACUCGCCCGAGACA